rnacentral:rRNA from 1 species
UACGUAGGCAGCGAGCGUUGUUCGGAGUUACUGGGCGUAAAGGGUGUGUAGGCGGUUGUUUAAGUUUGGUGUGAAAUCUCCCGGCUCAACUGGGAGGGUGCGCCGAAUACUGAAUGACUUCGAGUGCGGGAGAGGAGAGUGGAAUUCCUGGUGUAGCGGUGAAAUGCGUAGAUAUCAGGAGGAACACCGGUGGUGUAGACGGCUCUCUGGACGUAACUGACGCUGAGACACGAAAGCGUGGGUAGCAAACAGG